UUCUCUUAUAAAACCCACCAUGGCAGCCGUGUAUAUCACUUUUGGAUGUAAUGAGAUUUGUCUCUGCUGUUGAAACUUUCAAGCAUCCGAAACUCUGGCCGAAAGUCCUCCCUGAGCUUCUCCACAUCUCAACUAGCUUCCUUCCAAUGGAAGGCCGUCUGAGCUAGGCUCCACCACCACCACAGCUCACUUCCACCGCCAACUUCCUUCACCGAAACGCAUACUCAAUUCUGCGUGUUUCUUUGUCAAUUCAUUCUCCAUUCACUAAAGCACAUCAUCUCCACCGCAACUCACAGAUGCUCUCCGCAUCUCGCUGCAGCAUCUCAACUUUUGCAACCGCAAUUCAUUGACACCACAUCUCAUCUCUCCCACACUUCAUUUUAAAUUGCUUCUAUUGUAUUCACGAACAUUGCUGCUAGUUUCAAUCUGAGAUCUAGGAGCAACGUCAUCAAUUGGUAUUCAGAGCUAUGGUUGGAUGAUUCACGCUCCAGCUAAGUCCAUUUUCGUCAAUCCAUAUUGUCAUUAACUUCCGCACUGUCUUUGCUUAUACGUGUUACUGUUCCUUUUCUAUUUAAGUGAAUGCUUGCUUCGUUCACAGUUCAAUAGAUUCUAGUGUUAUCAUUUUAAUCGGUGCCUUAUCUUGUUUGAAGUCUCAUCCUCUCGUUUUUUUUUAACAUUUUCAAGUCUUGUUUGAGUAAUGUGCAAAUAUGUUUG
rnacentral:lncRNA from 1 species